rnacentral:ncRNA from 1 species
UUUGGUAGAGGUCGCGGGUUUCAUUAGUAUCUGCCCCAUACGGCGCGGGACGCCGGAGCAGAGAAAGGGAAAACCGCCGAAGUGAAAAGCUCCCCCGAGAGACUUUUUGCUGGGACGCAGCAGAAUAUGCUGCGGACUGUCACAGAAACUGUGGAGAGCUAUCA